rnacentral:rRNA from 1 species
UACGGAGGGUGCAAGCGUUAAUCGGAAUUACUGGGCGUAAAGCGCACGCAGGUGGCUGAGUCAGUCGAUUGUGAAAGCCCUGGGCUUAACCUGGGAAUUGCAGUCGAUACUACUCAGCUAGAGUAUGGGAGAGGGUAGUGGAAUUCCCGGUGUAGUGGUGAAAUGCGUAGAUAUCGGAAGGAACAUCAGUGGCGAAAGCGACUUCCUGGACCAAUACUGACGCUCAUGUGCGAAAGCGUGGGGAGCAAACAGG